rnacentral:misc_RNA from 1 species
GAAACAAUUGGAGAAGGAAUAGUAAAUCGAGCUUGAGACUACGAGUAAACCUUGAAAAUAGAGAAUGCUAUUACUGUCAUCAAAAGGAUCACAUUCAGUACCAUUGUAUGAAAAUGAAGGAAGAUCUUGCAGAAUUUAAACAAUUUAAGAAAAGUCAUGGAAAAGAAUAACAAGGAACUACAGUAAUUGCAAUGGAUAAUGGUGUUAAUGGUGAAAUUUUGAAUGUGGAUGAUGAUAAGGAGAAAGUAAAAGAUCCAUUAUAAGAUGAGUGGUUAAUGAAUUCUGUUUACCCAUUCCAUAUUUGCUCAAAGAAUGAGUAGUUUAAUGUAAUUGAACGAGAAAGAGUGAAGCCAGCUAAUGGGAACAAGAUAAAAGUUGAAAGCAUUGGAAGAGUGAAGAUCAAACUGCAUGGUGAUCGUGUAAAAGUGUUCGAUGAAGUGAUAUACGUUCUUAAAUUAGAAAGAAACUUAAUUUCCUUGGAUAAGUUGGAUUUUUUGGAUUAUAGGUGUUCAAUUCAUGGUGAAAUCAUGAGAGUUAGCCAAGUUGCUUUUGUGAUCAUGAAGGGUGAGAAAAUUAGUAUAAAGAAUUUCUACAAAUUGGAAGGAAGGACAUUGAUUGGAAGAAUACAAGUGAAAGCAAGAGGCAAUAUCAACAAUCAAGAGUGCAAGAAAGUACCAAGAGAAAACUGACUUUAGCAAAAAUUGUGAAGACUAAUUCUAUUUGACUCGGAGGUGGAGAUUGUUAGAGUUCAAGUCCAAUUGGAAUUAGGAAGUGUAAUUAAUUUAGGAAGUGUAAUUAGUUUAGGAAGUUUAGUAG